rnacentral:rRNA from 1 species
AGAAUCAACGCUGGCGGCGUGCCUAACACAUGCAAGUCGAACGCGGUUACCCCGCAAGGGGUAACUGAGUGGCGAACGGGUGAGUAACACGUGGGUGACCUACCUUCGAAUGGGGGAUAACGUCCCGAAAGGGACGCUAAUACCGCAUAACAUCCUGCCUUUGAACAGGCGGUGAUCAAAGCCGGGGAUCGCAAGACCUGGCGUUUGAAGAGGGGCCCGCGUCCGAUUAGCUAGUUGGUGAGGUAACGGCCCACCAAGGCGACGAUCGGUAACCGGCCUGAGAGGGCGGACGGUCACACUGGGACUGAGACACGGCCCAGACUCCUACGGGAGGCAGCAGUGGGGAAUUGUUCACAAAUGGGCGCAAGCCUGAUGACGCAACGCCGCGUGGAGGAUGAAGGUCUUCGGAUUGUAAACUCCUGUUGCCCGGACGAAAAGCUUUAGACCUAACACGUCAAAGUCUAGACGGUACCGGUGAGGAAGCCCGGCUAACUCUGUGCCAGCAGCCGCGGU